rnacentral:rRNA from 1 species
GAUGAACGCUGGCGGCGUGCUUAACACAUGCAAGUCGAACGAAGCACUUAUGAUUGAGAUUUCGGUUGAUUGACUAAGUGACUUAGUGGCGGACGGGUGAGUAACGCGUGGGUAACCUGCCUCGUACAGGGGGAUAACAGUUAGAAAUGACUGCUAAUACCGCAUAAGACCACGGUGCCGCAUGGCACAGGGGUAAAAGAACGGAAUCGGUUUGGGGUGAGUUCGCGUCUGAUUAGUUAGUUGGUGGGGUAACGGCCUACCAAGGCGACGAUCAGUAGCCGACCUGAGAGGGUGAACGGCCACAUUGGAACUGAGACACGGUCCAA